rnacentral:ncRNA from 2 species
UUCUUAUCCAGAGAAGCGGAGGGACUGGCCUGAUGAUGCUUCGGCAGCGGACUUUUUUUAAAAGUACUGUGCCAAUUCCAGCAGGCGAGAAGCCUGGGAGAUAAGAA